UACGGGGGGGGCAAGCGUUGUUCGGAAUUACUGGGCGUAAAGGGCGCGUAGGCGGUUUGCUAAGUCAGUUGUGAAAGCCCGGGGCUCAACCCCGGAGGGUCGGCUGAUACUGGUGGACUAGAGUACGGAAGAGGUAGCUGGAAUUCCCGGUGUAGCGGUGAAAUGCGUAGAUAUGACAUAGAACACCAAUUGCGAAGGCAGCUCGCUACACAUAUAUUGACUCUGAGGCACGAAAGCGUGGGGAUCAAACAGG
rnacentral:rRNA from 1 species